GACGAACGCUGGCGGCGUGCUUAACACAUGCAAGUCGAGCGGUAAGGCCCCUUCGGGGGUACACGAGCGGCGAACGGGUGAGUAACACGUGGGUGACCUGCCCUCAGCUCUGGGAUAAGCCUGGGAAACUGGGUCUAAUACCGGAUAUGACUCCAUGACGCAUGUCGUGGGGUGGAAAGCCUUGUGCGGCUGGGGAUGGGCCCGCGGCCUAUCAGCUUGUUGGUGGGGUGAUGGCCUACCAAGGCGACGACGGGUAGCCGGCCUGAGAGGGCGACCGGCCACACUGGGACUGAGACACGGCCCAGACUCCUACGGGAGGCAGCAGUGGGGAAUCUUGCGCAAUGGGCAAAAGCCUGACGCAGCGACGCCGCGUGAGGGAUGACGGCCUGGUGUAAC
rnacentral:rRNA from 1 species